CUUCUUGAUCACUGCUAA
rnacentral:misc_RNA from 1 species